CGCGUAGGCGGACUUUUAAGUUAGGGGUGAAAUCCCAGGGCUCAACCCUGGAACUGCCCUUAAUACUGGAAGUCUUAAGUUCGAGAGAGGUGAGUGGAAUUCCGAGUGUAGAGGUGAAAUUCGUAGAUAUUCGGAGGAACACCAGUGGCGAAGGCGGCUCACUGGCUCGAUACUGACGCUGAGGUGCGAAAGUGUGGGGAGCAAACA
rnacentral:rRNA from 1 species